CAAACCGCAUUGAACCCUGGGAGAGAAUAAGAAAAUAAACGUCAGGCUCUAAAGCUGUUUCACGUGAGGGGAGGACGAAAGAGGGAUGAGAGGCUUGAGAGCCGGCGGCGGUGGGAAAGGAAGGACCGAGGCUGGGGAUCCCGGCGCAGACUGGUUUGUGAAACCUGGAGCAACUCCGUUCCUCUCUGGGGGCUACAAGAAAGCAGGACCUGAGUGCGCAUUCUUCCCGUGCCUAGGAUACUUUGGAGGCUAAAAAUAGUCGCCGGAGCCGCGCUGGGUGUCUAGCUGGAGGGCCGUCUGCAAACCAAGCUGGAGUCCUGGAUUCGAAUCCAGACAAGGCCUACCUCCAUGUCGGGGCACCUCCGUCGGCUUGCUACCUGAGUACCGGUCCCCGUGCGCGCCAGGAUUUCUAAGGGGCGUCCUAGCUCUUGGAAAGAAAAAGGGAAAACCCUUGAUUUUUCUUUUCUGCCCCUGCCCGAGGGGCCUUGGGGCCCGGGGCCGGGAACUGGGGCCGGGGGAGGGGUGUGCCGGGACGGCUCAUUACCGCGAGGUGUUGCCCCAGUUAAAUCACCGGCCUGUUUGAUCUGGCGGCGGGUGGCGAGAGGGCAAAAAAGGAAGAAGUAGGGGGGUAAGACUGGAGAGAAGCUCACACCUCCCCCACCGUUUCCUCGCAUCCAUAAAACACCUUUUAUUAACUCCUUCGUGUCCGGAAAGGCCCUCGUGGCCGCUCGGCCCCUGCCACGGUGUUUACAGCCAAGACUAAUGGGGCCCCAUAUUCACCCCGAUGCCGGCAUGAAGAGCCUGGAAAGGCCUGGCUCCAGAGCUGCUCCGGGCCUCCUUUCUCGGCCCCAAGCCGAGGGCCCCCAGCUCCGGGUGUAGGGCGAGCGAGCGCCCAGGGACUGGUGCGCGCAUUCUCGCGCCUCGCUCGCAGGGAGCGCCGAAGACUCGUGCAGGCACUGCACACCGUGCGCCCCUCGGGCAAUCGUGGGAGCUAUUCGGAGGCAUAAAAGCGCUUGGCUAGUACCUAGUACACAUUCGCGCGCCAGUAAAACUACUUGUCUGUAGGCUAUUAUUCAGGAACACGUUUGCCUGCCCCAGUUUAGCGCAGCAAGAGCCCGAGCCUCGGCGAAUGCACCGGUUUUUAUUCGCCCCCGCGCCCAGCCACGGGAGCGCACGUGGGGGAACAAAGAUAGCUCUCCUGCACAAAUGCCGGAAUUAGUGUGCGCACACUCCAUCCCUUUGCGCAAAUCCACGUGUUAUCACGAUUAUUUGUUGAGUGCGUUGUUGCUGGAGAAAAACCUAAACGUCUCGAAUUUAACCAGAAGCGCUCGCGAGCUUCUUUUACUCAAGUAUAAAAUAAUAGCUGCUACGACUCGACGAGUCGUUAUUGCAUGCCGGGAGCUGUGCCACGCAGACCCGCAGAGCCCCCCACCCCACCCCACCCCCAGGCACCAGGCUCCAUGAGUUCCUGCACCAUUACAUGCCCAGAUGUGUUCAGAAUUUCAUAUACAUGAACAUAGUAUUCCUGAGCACACCCCUCUCUACCCAGCUACACUACCCUGGGGCUGAUGCCCCAUUCCUGAUAAUCCCAAACCACUGCCUGUAGGUUAGUAUGGGUGUGCAUACUAACCUGAUGUUAGACCAUGCCGAGUUACCUAAAUCGUAGCCAGUCUCUCUGGGUCUAAUGCCUUUCCAGUUUUCCUUUCUGUGGGUUCACUAAAGUUAUCCUGUCUCACAGUUGCAUUAUAAGGAGAACUUUGUUCUUUGUUCCAGGAAUAUGUCCUUUGUCUGCCCCCUCCGCCUUGACUUGAUUUGUAGUUUGGCAUUUAUCAAAAGAAGGUAGAAAUAGGACGCUCUCCACCUAGCAGAAAUUACGGAGCUGGGAUACCCACCAAGACAUCACACAGGCUUCUUCCGAUUUCGGAAAAUGUUUUAUUGGUCAAGAGCAUAGAUACUGCUUUGGCAAAGGGAGGGGGCGGUGAGUGGUCAUACAGGUUUGAGGUAGAAAAGGGGUGGGGAUGGGGGAAUAAACAAACACCUGAGCGCAGCAGGCACCGUAGGUAGUUUAAAUACAUAAAAACUUUUCAACAUAGGGGAAACGCUUUUACUUAGGAAAGGAAGGAAGGAAGGAAAAGAGAGAGAGAAAGAAAAGAAGGAAGAGAGAAAGAAAAGGCAGGCAAGCGUUUCCCUUGGAACUAAGUAGGAAGUGCAGCAACAAAAAAUAAAGUAAAAACAUCACUGUUUGAGGGAGACCAACAACAAAAGGCAGCCAGCCCUCCAUCUUCCUGUCCAUGGUCUGCUUCUCUGUCCAUGGCAGAAAACUAUUGAUUCCUCUUAUUGCAUUUUAAUCAGGGAAGGGAGCGCCGGAGAAUUUUGACGAGGGGGGGGGCGGGUGAGAAAGAGAGCCAUAUAGGUAGUAGGGAAGGCGCUGGGGGUUCCAAAUUCGCCCCAGAAGGGUUGGAAGGGUGCGUCUUAGCCCACUCGGGUCCUGCCGUCCCUCCCUCCCACAUAGUGCCUCCAAGAGUAGCCCUCUCGGUUUUGGGGGUGGAUAUAUAUAUAUUUCUCUUUUUCUUAAUGUAUUAAAAACAAUUUCAAAUGACA